rnacentral:rRNA from 1 species
CCUACGGGAGGCAGCAGUGGGGAAUUUUGGACAAUGGGCGAAAGCCUGAUCCAGCAAUGCCGCGUGAGUGAAGAAGGCCUUCGGGUUGUAAAGCUCUUUUGUCAGGGAAGAAACGGUGAGGGCUAAUAUCUCUUGCUAAUGACGGUACCUGAAGAAUAAGCACCGGCUAACUACGUGCCAGCAGCCGCGGUAAUACGUAGGGUGCAAGCGUUAAUCGGAAUUACUGGGCGUAAAGCGUGCGCAGGCGGUUUUGUAAGUCUGAUGUGAAAUCCCCGGGCUCAACCUGGGAAUUGCAUUGGAGACUGCAAGGCUAGAAUCUGGCAGAGGGGGGUAGAAUUCCACGUGUAGCAGUGAAAUGCGUAGAUAUGUGGAGGAACACCGAUGGCGAAGGCAGCCCCCUGGGUCAAGAUUGACGCUCAUGCACGAAAGCGUGGGGAGCAAACAGGAUUAGAUACCCUGGUAGUCCACGCCCUAAACGAUGUCUACUAGUUGUCGGGUCUUAAUUGACUUGGUAACGCAGCUAACGCGUGAAGUAGACCGCCUGGGGAGUACGGUCGCAAGAUUAAAACUCAAAGGAAUUGACGG